CGACAUCGUGGUCCUCUCAGACAGAAACUGCCCUCUGGGAUUUGUACUUGUGCAGAAACAGUGCAUGGAUUUUGAUGAAUGUGUUGGUGAUGUCGACGACCUCGAUUAUCCUGGUCCGUGUACAUACAAUUCAGUCUGUAUUAACACAUUAGGCAGUUUCUACUGCCAAUGCUUGCCAGGGUUCAUGACAUCAACAGGGGCUGUGAAUUUUUCAGCUUUAACGGCUCAAAGAUGUUUCGAUAUUAAUGAGUGUGUGGUAUACAGAGACAUCUGUGGACCUAAUGCCAUAUGCAUGAACACAUUGCCCAGUUAUGUUUGCAUUUGUGAUGAUGGAUUUACGUCUUCGACUGGAGUGGAAAAUUUUCACCAAGGCGACA